CACCAAGUGGGGGAUGGUCUUCUCUUGAAAGUUAAGAUGCUUAAGAGACUGAAAUUGGUUCUUGAGAGCGGUCUGGAACGGCUAGAGGUGGAGAGGCUAACUUGUGGUCAGUAGGAACUGAUGAAAGAAAGAGCAGCGCAGGGAGCUCAGCUCACACUGAACCUGGAACUUUGGGGGAGCCACUAAGCAUAUUAUUCAGAGCUAGUUAGAGGGUCAUUUAAGGCAGAGAAUAAGAGACCCUUAAGAAAUGGUGAAUUUGAAAGAGGUCAGGAAUCAUAGGGUAGCAGUCUGAAUAUUUGCCGAAAUGACUGGCCAGAAGAAUUGGUUGAAAGUUCCAAUGAGGAUGAGAUACAGGCUUACAGAGAGUAUGGAAAUAGCAAAGGAGGACAGCUGAGAACAGAAGUUUCAAGUCAAGACCUUAGAAGGUGGUCUCGAUACCACCUUCAAGGGUCUUGAUACCAUACUGUCAAAUGCUGAGGAUAUCUGGAGUUUCUCUGUGCUCAAGGGUAGCUGAGGUCUGGAAAUUCUUUUCCAACCCGUGCCCGGACCACGACACGACUUUUUACGACCUCAUGGAUGUAGCCCGUCAGGGCCCUCUGUCCAUGGGAUUUCCCAGGCGGAUUCUGAGCCACCAGAGAAGCCCCAGCCUUUCUGAUAACCAUUAAGAAAGAACAAGUGGGUGUGCCACACCAGCCGAUGAUGAGGCAUCCCUGUUCUGCUCAUGACUUGAACUGUGAUUUAUUCUGUGGUCCUUGCUGAACAGAUCUGCCUUGGGUUUCUGCUGGGCCGAUAAAAGGUAGAAGAACAUAUUCAGCUCCCGAUUUAGACACUGUGCAGUGGUUUUACGGAUACAAAAGCUGUCUUAGCAUCAACAAGGUGGCAUUGAAAUCUGGGUCACAUAUAUGAC
ensembl:lncRNA